AUACGGAGGAUGCGAGCGUUAUCCGGAUUUAUUAGGUUUAAAGGGUGUGUAGGCGGGAGCCUAAGUCAGUGGUGAAAUCUCACAGCUUAACUGUGAAACUGCCAUUGAAACUGGGUUUCUUGAGUAUAGUUGAGGUAGGCGGAAUGUGUAAUGUAGCGGUGAAAUGCAUAGAUAUUACACAGAACACCGAUUGCGAAGGCAGCUUACUAAGCUAUUACUGACGCUGAUGCACGAAAGCGUGGGUAGCGAACAGGAUUAGAAACCCGAGUAGUCC
rnacentral:rRNA from 1 species